AGUCCAGAGGCUGUACUAAGUGUUUUAUAAAUAUUAUCACUAUUUCUUUAAGAAACAAUGCAAAAUAUGUACUUAUCUCCUACUUUACAGGUGAAGAAACUGAUGUUUGGAGAAGUAGAAUCCUUGCUUUAGUGAGGGACAUGGUGGUGAUGCUUGAAAGUCAAAACCCUAACCUGGUAACCUGGAAAUGUAGAUGGCUUGAUGAGAGUGAUUUCACAUUGAUCGUCCAUGACUCAAUGUCGGCAGAUACAUGUUCACAGUUCUCAGCCUAAAAUACAGAUGGCUAACAAACACAGGGAAAGAUG